UUGGCUGGUAUACUCAACCUCUUCAGGCACAUCCUAACUCGAGCAUUUAUUGAAUAUUUACAGAAGAUAAGUGCUCUCUGUUGGGAUGAGCCAGAUGGAGGACUAAGCGCAGUUUUGUU
rnacentral:pre_miRNA from 12 species